rnacentral:rRNA from 1 species
GUUACUGCUAUCGGUGUUCGCCUAAGCCAUGCGAGUCAUAUGUUCUUCGUGAACAUGGCGUACUGCUCAGUAACACGUGGAUAACCUGCCCUUGGGACCGGCAUAACCCCGGGAAACUGGGGAUAAUUCCGGAUACCGCAUAUAUGCUGGAAUGCUUUAUGCGUGAAAUGGAUUCGUCUGCCCAAGGAUGGGUCUGCGGCCUAUCAGGUAGUAGUGGGUGUAAUGUACCUACUAGCCAACGACGGGUACGGGUUGUGAGAGCAAGAGCCCGGAGAUGGAUUCUGAGACAUGAAUCCAGGCCCUACGGGGCGCAGCAGGCGCGAAAACUUUACAAUGCGGGAAACCGUGAUAAGGGGACACCGAGUGCCAGCAACAUUUGUUGGCUGUCCAGGUGUGUAAACUACACCUGUUAGCAAGGGCCGGGCAAGACCGGUGCCAGCCGCCGCGGUAACACCGGCGGCCCGAGUGGUGAUMGUGAUUAUUGGGUCUAAAGGGUCCGUAGCCGGUUUGGUCAGUCCUCCGGGAAAUCUGACGGCUAAACCGUUAGGCUUUCGGGGGAUACUGCCAGGCUUGGAACCGGGAGAGUAAGAGGUACUACAGGGGUAGGAGUGAAAUUUUGUAAUCCCUGUGGGUCCACCUGUGGCGAAGGGGUUUUACCAGGACGGGUUUGACGGUGAGGGACGAAAGCUGGGGGCACGAACCGGAUUAGAUACCCGGGUAGUCCCAGCCGUAAACGAUGCUUGCUAGGUGUYAGGCAUGGSGCGACCGUGUUUGGUGCCGCAGGGAAACCGUGAAGCGRGCCACCUGGGAAGUACGGCCGCAAGGCUGAAAAUUAAAGGRAUUGGCGGGGGAGCACAACAACGGGUGGAGCCUGCGGUUUAAUUGGAAUUAAAGCCGGAMAACUCACCGGGGGCGACAGCAAWAUGUAGGCCAAGGUGAAGAAUUUGCCUGAAUUGSUGAGAGGAGGUGCAUGGCCGUUGCCAGUCCGUACUGUGAAGCAUAUCUGUUAAGUCAGG